rnacentral:tRNA from 1 species
GUAGCUCGUCAGGCUCAUAACCUGAAGGCCGCAGGUUCAAAUCCUGCCCCCGCAA